rnacentral:rRNA from 1 species
AGUGAACGCUGGCGGUAGGCCUAACACAUGCAAGUCGAACGGCAGCACAGAGGAGCUUGCUCAUUGGGUGGCGAGUGGCGGACGGGUGAGGAAUACAUCGGAAUCUACUCUGUCGUGGGGGAUAACGUAGGGAAACUUACGCUAAUACCGCAUACGACCUACGGGUGAAAGCAGGGGAUCUUCGGACCUUGCGCGAUUGAAUGAGCCGAUGUCGGAUGAGCUAGUUGGCGGGGUAAAGGCCCACCAAGGCGACGAUCCGUAGCUGGUCUGAGAGGAUGAUCAGCCACACUGGAACUGAGACACGUUCCAGACUCCUACGGGAGGCAGCAGUGAGGAAUAUUGGACAAUGGGCGCAAGCCUGAUCCAGCCAUACCGCGUGGGUGAAGAAGGCCUUCGGGUUGUAAAGCCCUUUUGUUGGGAAAGAAAUCCAUCUGGUUAAUACCCGGGUGGGAUGACGGUACCCAAAGAAUAGGCACCGGCUAACUUCGUGCCAGCCGCCGCGGUAA